UACAUAGGGUGCAAGCGUUAAUCGGAAUCACUGGGCGUAAAGCGCACGUAGGCGGAUCUUUAAGUCAGGGGUGAAAUCCCAAGGCUCAACCUUGGAACUGCCUUUGAUACUGGGGAUCUCGAGUCCGGAAGAGGGUUGGUGGAACUGCGAGUGUAGAGGUGAAAUUCGUAGAUAUUCGCAAGAACACCAGUGGCGAAGGCG
rnacentral:rRNA from 1 species